rnacentral:rRNA from 1 species
AUUGAACGCUGGCGGCAGGCCUAACACAUGCAAGUCGAACGGUAACAGGAAGAAGCUUGCUUCUUUGCUGACGAGUGGCGGACGGGUGAGUAAUGUCUGGGAAACUGCCUGAUGGAGGGGGAUAACUACUGGAAACGGUAGCUAAUACCGCAUAACGUCGCAAGACCAAAAAGGGGGACCUUCGGGCCUCUUGCCAUCGGAUGUGCCCAGAUGGGAUUAGCUAGUAGGUGGGGUAACGGCUCACCUAGGCGACGAUCCCUAGCUGGUCUGAGAGGAUGACCAGCCACACUGGAACUGAGACACGGUCCAGACUCCUACGGGAGGCAGCAGUGGGGAAUAUUGCACAAUGGGCGCAAGCCUGAUGCAGCCAUGCCGCGUGUAUGAAGAAGGCCUUCGGGUUGUAGAGUACUUUCAGCGGGGAGGAAGGGAGUAAAGUUAAUACCUUUGCUCAUUGACGUUACCCGCAGAAGAAGCACCGGCUAACUCCGUG